rnacentral:rRNA from 1 species
CCUACGGGGGGCAGCAGUGGGGAAUAUUGGACAAUGGGCGAAAGCCUGAUCCAGCCAUGCCGCGUGUGUGAAGAAGGCCUUCGGGUUGUAAAGCACUUUCAGUGGGGAAGAAAGCCUUGGGGCUAAUACCCUCGAGGAAGGACAUCACCCACAGAAGAAGCACCGGCUAACUCCGUGCCAGCAGCCGCGGUAAUACGGAGGGUGCGAGCGUUAAUCGGAAUUACUGGGCGUAAAGCGCGCGUAGGCGGUCUGAUAAGCCGGUUGUGAAAGCCCCGGGCUCAACCUGGGAACGGCAUCCGGAACUGUCAGGCUAGAGUGCAGGAGAGGAGGGUAGAAUUCCCGGUGUAGCGGUGAAAUGCGUAGAGAGCGGGAGGAAUACCAGUGGCGAAGGCGGCCUUCUGGACUGACACUGACGCUGAGGUGCGAAAGCGUGGGUAGCAAACAGGAUUAGAUACCCCUGUAGUC